rnacentral:rRNA from 1 species
UAUCAAGUUACUAAGGGCUUAUGGAGGAUGACUUGGUUGGUGCAGGCGAUGAAGGACGUAGCAAGCUGCGAUAAGCUGCGGGUAGAUGCAAGUAAUUUUUGAUCCGCAGAUUUCCGAAUGGGGAAACCCUUCCAGGGUAAUACUUGGAAAUUCUGAUCUUGUAUCAGGAGGCUAACCCGGAGAAGUGAAACAUCUCAGUACCCGGAGGAAAAGAAACCGUAAGGUAUUCCCCCAGUAGCGGCGAGCGAAAAGGGAAGAGCCUAAACCUAAUAAGUGUUAAAGCCUGUCGGCGUUGCUUAUUAGGGGUUGUGGGGCAUUACUAGAAGGUGCGACAGAACCUUCGGGAAGUUAAAAAAUUUUUUCUUAGCUAAAUUUACUGGAAAGUAAAACCAUAGAAGGUGAAAGUCCUGUAGGCGAAAAGGAAAGAUCUUCUUGAGUAAUGUUCCCAAGUACCACGAAACACGGGAAACUUUGUGGGAAUUUGCCCCGGCCACGGGGUAAGGCUAAAUACUAGCAUCAGACCGAUAGUGUACUAGUACCGUGAGGGAAAGUUGAAAAGAACCCCGGUGAGGGGAGUGAAAUAGAAUCUGAAACCAUAAGUCUACAAAGCGGUCAGAGCGUGACUUCGGUUGCGCAAUGGCGUACCUUUUGUAUAAUGGUCCAGGGAGUUAUUGUUUAUCGCAAGUUUAAUCCGUCUUUGACGGAGGAGGCGUAGGGAAACCGAGUCUUCAAAGGGCGUGUUUCCGGCCGUAAGGUUGGAACCCAGCGGUAAGUAAUAGACUCGAAGCCAGUCGAUCUACCCAUGGCCAGGGUGAAUUCGCUGUAACAGGCGAAGGAGGCCCGAACUGGUGUCGGUUGAAAACGGCUCGGAUGAGCUGUGGGUGGGAGUGAAAGGCUAACCAAGGCUGGUGAUAGCUAGUUCUCCCCGAAAUGACUUUAGGGUCAGCCUAAAGAUAAGGGCUUUCGAAGGUAGAGUACAGAAUGGGCUAGGGUGGAUUAAUCCAUACCAAACCCAAUCUAACUCCGAAUUUCUUAAGCUUAUACUUUGGAGUGAGACUAUGGGGGAUAAGCUUCAUAGUCGAAAGGGAAACAGCCCAGACCGCCGGUUAAGGUCCCCAAAAGCAGGUUAAGUGGUGAAGGAUGUGGAGUUGCUAAGACAGCCGAGAUGUUGGCUUAGAGGCAGCCAUCAUUUAAAGAGUGCGUAAUAGCUCAUCGGUCAAGCGACUGUGCGCCGAAAAUGAUCGGGGCUUAAACCUGUUACCGAAACCGCGGCUUUGCGUUCAGGAAACUGAGCGCAAGGGGUAGGGGAGUAUUCUCUGUGUGUUGAAGCUUUACUGUGAAGUAUGGUCGAACGCAGAGAAGAAAGUAUCCUGGAAUGAAUAGCGAAAACUUCGAUGAAAAAUCGGAGCGCCGAAAGUCUAAGGUUUCUCCGUCAAUGUUCGUCAGACGGAGGUUAGGCGGCCCCUAAGCCAAAUCCCGAUUUAGGUCGAGAGUAGGUGAUGGAGUUACCCGUUAAUAUUCGGGUUCCACCUGUAGGCGGUAACUUAAAAAACGACGUGCAAGAUGCGGUGGUCGGACGGUUGGAUGUGUCCGUCCUCACAUCCAGUUUACUGGGGGUGGGGGGAGUCUAAGCUACGGCGCGGGCGAACCCACCAGAAUCAAGUACCAAGAAAUAGUUUUUUAAGUUGUCUACGGGUGACCGUACCGUAAUCCGACACAGGUAGACUGCUAGAGUAUAGUAAGGCGCGCGGGAGAAUCCUCGCUAAGGAACUCGGCAAUCUAACCCCGUACGUUUGCAAGAAGGGGUCCCCCGAAUUUUCGGGGGCGCAGUGAAAAGGCUCCUGUGACUGUUUAGCAAAAACACAGAUCUCUGCUAACUCGUAAGAGGAUGUAUAGAGAUUGAGACCUGCCCAAUGCCGGAAGGUUAAAGGGAGAGGUUAUUCCGAUUUAUCGGGAGAAGCUUUGAACCGAAGCCCCGGUGAAUGGCGGCCGUAACUAUAACGGUCCUAAGGUAGCGAAAUUCCUUGUCGGGUAAGUUCCGACCCGCACGAAUGGUAUAACAAUGGGAGCGCUGUCUCAGCGAGGAUCCCGGUGAAAUUGUAGUGGCGGUAAAGAUGCCGCCUACCCGCAGUAGGACGAAAAGACCCCGGAACCUUUACUGUAGGCUGGUAUUGAAUUUUGGUGCGGUAUGUGUAGGAUAGGUGGGAGGCUAUGAAGUUCCGACGUCAGUUGGGAUGGAGCCAUUAGUGAAAUACCACCCUUAUUGUACUAGGAUUCUAACCUCGAAUUAUAUCGAGAAACAGUGCCAGUUGGGCAGUUUGACUGGGGCGGUUCCCUCCUAAAAGGUAACGGAGGGGCCCAAAGGUACCCUCAGUCCGUUUGGAAAUCGGACGGCGAGUGUAAGAGCAUAAGGGUGCCUGACUGUGAGGCUGACAAGCCAAACAGGCGCGAAAGCGGGGUCUAAUGAUCCGGUGGUUGCACGUGGUAGCGCCAUCGCUCAACGGAUAAAAGGUACUCCGGG